UACGUAGGGGGCAAGCGUUGUCCGGAAUCAUUGGGCGUAAAGCGCGUGUAGGCGGUCCGGUAAGUCCGCUGUGAAAGUCGGGGGCUCAACCCUCGAAUGCCGGUGGAUACUGUCGGGCUAGAGUGCGGAAGAGGCGAGUGGAAUUCCUGGUGUAGCGGUGAAUGCGCAGAUAUCAGGAGGAACACCUAUGCGAAGGCAGCUCGCUGGGACGUAACUGACGCUGAGACGCGAAAGCGUGGGGAGCGAACAGG
rnacentral:rRNA from 1 species